CCUUCCCAUGGGUGCUCAGUGAAUGUUCUAUAACUCACCAUCAUCAGGCUUCUUCACAAAUUUGACUCCCAGUUCUUCAAAUCUUUUGCAAGCACCAUGUACAUCAGGAACUGCAAUUCCAAUGUGACCUUAGCCUCGGGGGUCUGAGUUGCCGCUGUGGUAGCUCUGGGCCUCAUCCUCCUCAGUGCCCCAAUUGCUGUGAAAGGAGGGAAAACACAAUUACAAGGGACCUGCAGAACAGAUAUUCUG